AAUAAAGGAUUGCCAUUAACCUUAUCACUUUCCACGACCAAGACUCUGAAAAACAGAGAGAAAAGAAAACCAAAAAUCAUUUCUUGGCUGGCUUGAAGAGAUUCUAAGGAGAUCCAAGUGAAAUCAAAGCCAAAGAAGUGGAUUAAGCUUAGUUUUGGCCUUUUUAUGGUAGAGAAAGAAAUGAGUGAAUGACAAAGGAGAACUGAAGCAUGGUCCUAACCCUAAUUUGAACAUAUGAAUAUAUCGACCUUUUGUGAGUUAUUUCAGUUUAUCAGUGUGUAUGAUUGUAAUAAAGUGUGAAGUUAUGUUUUGAAAAUAAAUUGGGUUAUUUAAUACUUAUGUAUAAUAUUUUUGAGACACACUUUAUGUUUAAUGUAAAUAAUGUGAAAUAAGUUUUCAAAAAAAAAAUUCAGACUUCCGUUGAAAGUAAUUAUGAUAUAGUUUUAAAUCGUAACCCCUCAAAUAUGGUUUGAACUAAAAUAAGUGAGGGUGUUACAGUUCACACCUUCUUCUUCU